rnacentral:ribozyme from 1 species
UGCCCAGCAACUCCUAUCCCUACCUCCUCGUGGUGCUGGCCGGGGUACGAGUAACCUUAGGGAAGAUCGGGUAACCAACCCCCGGUGGGAACUUUGGUCGUAUGCUGACAGGGAAGG